rnacentral:lncRNA from 1 species
UGUAAAAAUCUAUACAUUCUAUGUAAACGGUACCUCUUACAGUUGUGCAAGGCACAACUUGUGAGGUUCAAUGAGACUGUUCCAGCUCCAGCCAUCAUAUCUGCAUCCCAGCCAGCAAGAAAGAGGAAUGAACAAAGAAGAGAGGCAAAGGGUACACCAACUACAUUUUCUUAUGUGUGAGGCACAUUGCAGAGCUGAGAGCCUGAAACCACUCAACUCCCAGAUGGAACCAAGAAAUCUUGUUGCUCCAUUGUUGCUGGUUGCCCUAGUGGAUGCCUGAGGACAAUGAGAACAUGCUAAUGAGGGCAGAGCUGAGUGAAUACCAGAGAAACAGAGCCAAAGCCCGUGCCUGGAGUGUGGACAUCCUGUUACAGGAAAUAAUAUUUUUCCUUAUUGUUUAAAACGUUUUGAGUCAAUUGUCUGUAUCUUUU